AAGCUAAUGAAGAGCCGUUUACUCCAGAGGAAACAUCCAGCAUUUCAACUGGCCACUGAGUUACUAAGUAUCAACCGAACAAGGUAGUUUUAAAAGGAAGGGAAAUAUUGCGACACGAAUGAAGGAACAGAUUAACUUGCUCCUCGGAUCUGGGCACACGGCUCCUCCUACUUCUUCUUCCUCUUUUCCUGGACACACCGUGGACAGAACCUGUGACAAGAAAGGCGCAAUGAGGCCCUGGGCACCAUUUCCACCAGCGCGCAGGGUGCCCAGGGCCCGCCUCCCCACGUCUCCCAGGGCUGCUGGACACCGGCAGGAGGGCACCAGGAGAGGCACACGCAGGGGGGCCGCGGCCCUCCCGCGGGGAAAACGCGCCGAUGUGCGUGCGGCUCUAUGCAGGACGCCAGUUCUGAAGUUGACAGAUACACAUCAAUGAGCAAAACCGAUUUGACACCCAGGCGUUCCUCCUUAACAGGUGGGUCCUUCUUCCCCGGCCGAUGGCAUGGUCGCUGGUGCCCUCUGUCUGGAGUCUGUGGGGGCUGCAGGUACCAAGCACGUGUGAGCAUGGCAGCCCCUCAGG
rnacentral:antisense_RNA from 1 species